rnacentral:lncRNA from 1 species
UGAGAUAUUGUCUUUGAGAAAAUAUAAAAAAUAAAUUCUACAUCUAAAAAGCAGACUGAAGUGAUAGUUUCUAUAGUUAUUUUCUAGAAUAACAUUCAGGAGGAAUCACCAUUUUAUGAAAUUUCAUCCAAUAAUAUUUCUAUUAUCGAAGAAGCAACUAUCUAACUACCGUCACAAGUAGAUCAAGGGAUAGCUUUCUAGAGAUCUACUAGAAUAAGUAAAUCUAUUAUACCUCUGAUUAUAUGGC